GAUGAACGCUGGCGGCGUGCUUAACACAUGCAAGUCGAACGGAAAGGCCAGUGCUUGCACUGGUGCUCGAGUGGCGAACGGGUGAGUAACACGUGGGUGAUCUGCCCUGCACUUUGGGAUAAGCCUGGGAAACUGGGUCUAAUACCAGAUAGGACCAUGCUUUGGAUGGUGUGGUGGUAAGUUUUUUCGGUGUGGGAUGAGCUUGCGGUCUAUCAGCUUGUUGGUGGGGUAAUGGCCUACCAAGGCGUCGACGGGUAGCCGGCCUGAGAGGGUGUACGGCCACAUUGGGACUGAGAUACGGCCCAGACUCCUACGGGAGGCAGCAGUGGGGAAUAUUGCACAAGGGGCGCAAGCCUGAUGCAGCGACGCCGCGUGGGGGAUGACGGCCUUCGGGUUGUAAACUCCUUUCGCAACUGACGAAGCUUUUUGUGACGGUAGGUUGAGAAGAAGCACCGGCUAACUACGUG
rnacentral:rRNA from 1 species